rnacentral:lncRNA from 1 species
AACCUCCUCUCUGUUGCUUACAAAAAUGUGAUUGGGGCUAGGAGGGCUUCAUGGAGAAUUAUCUCGUCCAUUGAGCAGAAGGAAGAGAGCAGGGGAAAUGAAGAUCAUGUAGCGAUUAUUAAGGAUUAUAGGGCAACAAUUGAAGCAGAGCUCAGCAAGAUUUGUGAUGGGAUUCUAAGCCUUCUAGAAUCACAUCUUAUUCCCUCAGCCGUAAUUGCUGAGUCUAAGGUGUUUUACCUCAAGAUGAAAGGUGAUUACCACAGGUACCUAGCUGAAUUUAAGACUGGACCUGGUAGGAAAGAGGCUGCAGAGAGCACUUUGUUGGCUUACAAAUCUGCUCAGGUCAGUCAUUACCGUGUUGUGUUUUCAAUUUUGCUCUUUCACAUGCAUGGAUACAUAUAUCAAUUAUUUUUUUCUUUUUUCUUCCCGUAAUAAUAUGUACUGAGUUUCCUUUUUGUUUUUUCUUUUGAUGUAGGACAUUGCUCUUGCUGAACUAGCUCCUACUCACCCAAUAAGGCUGGGGCUUGCUCUUAACUUCUCUGUCUUCUAUUAUGAAAUCCUUAACUCACCAGACCGUGCUUGCAAUCUUGCAAAGCAGGUAAUUUCAUUUAGCUGCUUGUAUCUGUUCUUUUCUCUGUUGUUUGAUGAAUUUCCUUUUUUUUUGGGGUAAUUUUAGAGAGUAUACACACACACACACACACACACGUAUAUCGAUAUAUAGAUACUAAAAAGAUAUAGAUUUUCUAGGCUGAUGACAGGGAUUCAGAAGCUUGAGGUUUUUUUAGAAUUGCUAAAUUCCUACUGGUUUGUACUUUGUAAUUUGAUGGCAUGGUAUAUAAUUUUAUGGAAAUUACUUGUAUUGUACCAUUUCAUGCUCCAUAACAUUGUUAAUGGCUGCUCUUCAAGGUCUACUAGAUGGCCAUUGAUUUGGUUGGAUCAUUUUGAUAAUAAGUUACUUGUAAAUAGCACAUCUUUUUACUUGGUUAUGAAUGCUUCAAUAGUUUGGCUUUGAUUUUGAUUGGGUUAUUUGGAGCCUAGGUUGCUUGUACAAAGGGCACCUUUUAGUUAUGAAUAUUCAACAAUUUGGCUGUGAUUUGACUAUUUCACGUCAUACUAUUUUAGCAAUUUCAUUAUUGGAAUAAUGUAGGUGAAACUUCAAAAUAUUCUCUAGCUUCAAUUUGAGGCUGAUAUUAAGUGUCAUGGUGGCAUGAGAUGGAAUCAGAAUUUCCUUACAAUGCUUAAUUGAGGUGCCAGUACUGGGCUUCUGCAUUUCACUGUGGCUGCUGGCUGACUCACGAAAUAGAUUUUACUUAUCUUAAGCCUGAAAUUUUGAUUUGCUUUUGGGCUAGAAGAAUUGGAUGUGCAGGUCUACAAGGAUCUUUUGAACCUUGACUAGACAAAAUAUCCAUUAUGCUGGACGUUUAGGAUUGUGGCUUAAUCAUUCAUUUUGUUCCUAUCUGACUGGUAAUUCUAUUUGGCAGGCUUUUGAUGAGGCUAUCUCUGAGCUGGAUACGUUAGGUGAAGAGUCAUACAAGGACAGUACAUUGAUCAUGCAACUUCUCCGAGACAACUUGACUCUGUGGACUUCUGAUAUCACGGUCUCUCUCUCUCUCUCUCUAAAGCUAAUUGAUCUGAAUAUAUACCAUAAAAACUGAAGUGGAUGUCAUUUUUUCCUAUCAUCAUUGUUGCUUAUUUUAUUUUAUUUUAUUUCUAUUUUGUACGCUACCCACAAGUUCAACUUGGUUUGGGAGCAAUUUUGAACUGGAUCCCAAGGUCCAGAGCAUUUAAGUCCAUUACUGAGUUGAAUUGAGCUUAAAACAAAUAGGCUCAAUUAAGACCUAUCCAAGAUUAAAAUUAUUGAUCUCAACCUUACCAAGGCCAAUUAAGUUUCUACAUUUUGCGUGCAUUGCCUAAUAGUAUUAGAAAUUCGUUUGUGUUCUUCAUUUUCUAGCCUAUCAGCAGAUCGAGAAUUCCGGCUUGUUUCUCCAUCUGUGAGCCUACCAAUAGAAGGAUUUUUAAUUAAAUAAUAAAUCAAUCAUAACUGAUCGAUAGCUCGAGUAACAGUUUUUACUGAUCUAGGUUGCACCUUGUUAUUUUCAUAUGGGUGGAUGCAUCUGUGUUUCUCUGCUAUGAACCUUUCCUCUCUAAGCUUCACUGCUCCUUUGCUUAUUGUAUUUUGUCAAUUUGGUUUCAGGAUGAUGCUGGAGAUGACAUCAAGGAAGCAUCAAAGCGUGAAUCAGGGGAAGGGCAGCCGUGAUGAAUUCAUCAUAGAAGAUGUGCUCUGUACUAUUCAGUCUGUGACCCUAAUAUAGAUG